AAAGCGGCGAACGGGUGAGUAACACGUGAGUAAUCUGCCCUCGGCACCGGGAUAGCCCGGGGAAACCCGGAUUAAUACCGGAUGGCCCACCAGCCCCUCGGGGCGGUUGGAAAAGGUAGCUUCGGCCUCCGGCCGAGGAGGAGCUCGCGGCGGAUUAGCUUGUUGGCGGGGUAACGGCCCACCAAGGCGACGAUCCGUAGCUGGUCUGAGAGGACGAUCAGCCACACUGGGACUGAGACACGGCCCAG
rnacentral:rRNA from 1 species